UCAACCCUCAAGCCUGGCUUGGUGUUGGACGUUGCGAUCGUCGUGAUGGACGAUCCGUCCCGAAGACAAUGACGGCGUGGCGAGGACCCCCCGGUACAUGGAGCUUUCACGGCACGUACUGGUUCGGCCUCGCGACCCGGCCUCGGUGGACCGCCCCCCUGGGGCGGUUCGCUCGGUUUUUUCUCA
rnacentral:misc_RNA from 1 species